rnacentral:rRNA from 1 species
UACAGAGGGGGGCAAGCGUUGUUCGGAAUUACUGGGCGUAAAGUGUGCGCAGGCGGCUUCGCAAGUCGAGUGUGAAAUCCCCGAGCUUAACUUGGGAAUUGCGCUCGAAACUACGGAGCUGGAGUGUGGCAGAGGAAGGUGGAAUUCCACGUGUAGCGGUGAAAUGCGUAGAGAUGCGGAGGAACACCGAUGGCGAAGGCAGCCCCCUGGGCUAACACUGACGCUCAGGCACGAAAGCGUGGGGAGCAAACAGG